rnacentral:lncRNA from 1 species
GCAGGCUGCCAGGCUGGCGUACAGUGGCGCAAUCUCAGCUCGCUGCAACCUCCACCUCCUGGGUUCAAGCGAUUUUCUUGCCUCUGCCUCCUGAGUAGCUGGGAUUACUGGCACACACCACCAUGCACAGGGAGAUAUGAGACAUCAAUCAAUAUAUGUAAGAUGUACAUCAGUUUCGUCUGGAAAGAUGGGACAACAUGAAGCAGGGAGGGGGCUCCCUGGUGACAGUUCCUUGUUCAAAAUGCCAAGAACCUGGAUGACUCAUAGUCAAGACCCUCCACCAGUAACAUAUAUUGGCGAGCCAGCCAGGAGACCACUACAGGAAACACUCCAUUUAUUCCACCUGACUUCCCACUUGGCUGCAUCCUCAACCAUUGAAAUGAAUUUGACCCUGAUAAUCUAAGGAGGAAACAUUUGAUAUUCUUUUGCAAUAAUACUUGGCCCCAGUAUUGUUUGGAAUCUGGAGUUUGCUGUUGAAUGGGAAAGCAGGAUGACGUUGCAUGUAUCCAGGCUUUGGUGCUGCUGUCCUAAGAAGGGUCAGGCCUAGUCAGCAUAUGGUGCUCUCCUUUGGUGCUAUUUGGCUCCAGUGUCUUUGGAGUCUGAGGAGGUUUGGCCUUUAAAAAUCAAACUGCCACCGGAACUGCUUUAAAAAUGUUUGGUUCACAGCCUUCACUGGAUUACCUAUUGGAGCAAACAAAGUGUAACCAUGUAAAACCUGUGAGCUUGUAUUGAUAUCUCAUGGCUAGAGUUCCAAGCGAAUGGGUCUCAUGAGAUCUGAUGGUUUUGAAAAUGGGAGUUGCCCUGCACAAGCUCUCCUUUUGCCUGCUGCCAUCCACAUAAGAUGUGAUUUGCUCUUCCUUGCCUUCCACCAUGAUUGUGAGGCCUUCCCAGCAUGUGGAAAUGGUCCAGCCUGCAAUAACUGAAGCCCCCAGACCUGGAACCUGAAGAUCCCAUCAGCCACUAAACCUGUGAACCUGUAGAAGACCUGAAGUACCUGUUUAAAAGGCAGCCAAAAGAUAAGUAAAUUCCUAUCAACUUUCCUUGGUGUCCUUCUUGUAUAUUUACUGUAAGCUGGAUAUAAUAGUAGCCAUUUUUAUAUUUUUACAAUUUAAUUGCUUUCUUCCAAAUGGAUUGAAUCACUUCUUUUAAAGUGUUUUAAUUAAUUUUUAUCUAUAGAACAAAAUAACAAAUAAGUAUUUUUUUUUUAUACCAUAAUGGUCACCCACAGCCUGUGUAUACUAAGACCAUGCAUACUGAUAAUCAGCUUUAUUUUACAAAAGAGUUUCGCUUUACCCCUCUGGUAAUUAAUGGAUUCUGGGUAUUUAUUAAAAACUUUAACACA